GGAUUAGUAAACAGAAGCCUCGGUGGAAGAUUACUAAUGAGAGUGGCGAACGGGUGAGUAACGCGUGAGCAACCUGCCUAUGACAGUGGGAUAGCCUCGGGAAACCGGGAUUAAUACCGCAUAAAAUCGUAGAAACACAUGUUUUAACGGUCAAAGAUUUAUCGGUCAUAGAUGGGCUCGCGUCUGAUUAGCUAGUUGGUGAGAUAACAGCCCACCAAGGCGACGAUCAGUAGCCGGUCUGAGAGGAUGAACGGCCACAUUGGAACUGAGACACGGUCCAAACUCCUACGGGAGGCAGCAGUGGGGAAUAUUGCACAAUGGGGGAAACCCUGAUGCAGCGACGCCGCGUGAACGAAGAAGGUAUUCGUAUCGUAAAGUUCUGUCCUAUGGGAAGAUAAUGACAGUACCAUAGAAGAAAGCUCCGGCUAAAUACGUGCCAGCAGCCGCGGUAAUACGUAUGGAGCGAGCGUUGUCCGGAAUUAUUGGGCGUAAAGGGUACGCAGGCGGUUUAAUAAGUCGAAUGUUAAAGAUCGGGGCUCAACCCCGUAAAGCAUUGGAAACUGAUAAACUUGAGUAGUGGAGAGGAAAGUGGAAUUCCUAGUGUAGUGGUGGAAUACGUAGAUAUUAGGAGGAAUACCAGUAGCGAAGGCGACUUUCUGGACACAAACUGACGCUGAGGUACGAAAGCGUGGGGAGCAAACAG
rnacentral:rRNA from 1 species